GACGAACGCUGGCGGCGUGCUUAACACAUGCAAGCCGAGCGGUAAGGCCCUUUCGGGGGUACACGAGCGGCGAACGGGUGAGUAACACGUGGGUGACCUGCCCUCAGCUCUGGGACAAGCCUGGGAAACCGGGUCUAAUACCGGAUAUGACUCCAUGACGCAUGUUGUGGGGUGGAAAGCCUUGUGCGGCUGAGGAUGGGCCCGCGGCCUAUCAGCUUGUUGGUGGGGNGAUGGCCUACCAAGGCGACGACGGGUAGCCGGCCUGAGAGGGCGACCGGCCACACUGGGACUGAGACACGGCCCAGACUCCUACGGGAGGCAGCAGUGGGGAAUCUUGCGCAAUGGGCGAAAGCCUGACGCAGCGACGCCGCGUGAGGGAUGACGGCCUGGUGUAAC
rnacentral:rRNA from 1 species